UACGUAGGGUGCAAGCGUUAAUCGGAAUUACUGGGCGUAAAGCGUGCGCAGGCGGCUUUGCAAGACAGAUGUGAAAUCCCCGGGCUCAACCUGGGAACUGCAUUUGUGACUGCAUGGCUAGAGUACGGGUAGAGGGGGAUGGAAUUCCGCGUGUAGCAGUGAAAUGCGUAGAUAUGCGGAGGAACACCGAUGGCGAAGGCAAUCCCCUGGACCUGUACUGACGCUCAUGCACGAAAGCGUGGGAGCAAACAGG
rnacentral:rRNA from 1 species